rnacentral:rRNA from 1 species
AGCGAACGCUGGCGGCAGGCUUAACACAUGCAAGUCGAACGGGCGUAGCAAUACGUCAGUGGCAGACGGGUGAGUAACGCGUGGGAACGUACCUUUUGGUUCGGAACAACCCAGGGAAACUUGGGCUAAUACCGGAUAAGCCCUUACGGGGAAAGAUUUAUCGCCGAAAGAUCGGCCCGCGUCUGAUUAGCUAGUUGGUGUGGUAAUGGCCUACCAAGGCGACGAUCCAUAGCUGGUCUGAGAGGAUGAUCAGCCACACUGGGACUGAGACACGGCCCAGACUCCUACGGGAGGCAGCAGUGGGGAAUAUUGGACAAUGGGCGAAAGCCUGAUCCAGCCAUGCCGCGUGAGUGAUGAAGGCCUUAAGGUUGUAAAGCUCUUUCAGUGGGGAAGAUAAUGACGGUACCCACAGAAGAAGCCCCCGGCUAACUUCGUGCCAGCCGCCG